rnacentral:tRNA from 1 species
CGCGCUAAGCGCCGCCGUUGCGCGCCUGCAGCCGGCCGCUGCGGUCGGCGUUCAUGCAGGUGUCGAAGCCGUGGUGCGUGACCGCGCCGGCGCGG